UGCCGCGUGCAGGAAGACGGCCCUAUGGGUUGUAAACUGCUUUUAUACGGGAAGAAACCCCCCAACGUGUUGGGGGCUGACGGUACCGUAAGAAUAAGGACCGGCUAACUCCGUGCCAGCAGCCGCGGUAAUACGGAGGGUCCGAGCGUUAUCCGGAAUCAUUGGGUUUAAAGGGUCCGUAGGCGGGCAGCUCAGUCAGUGGUGAAAGUUUGCGGCUUAACCGUAAAAUUGCCAUUGAUACUGGUUGUCUUGAAUUGGUGUGAAGUGGUUAGAAUGAGUAGUGUAGCGGUGAAAUGCAUAGAUAUUACUCAGAAUACCGAUUGCGAAGGCAGAUCACUAACACUAUAUUGACGCUGAGGGACGAAAGCGUGGGGAGCGAACAGGAUUAGAUACCCUGGUAGUCCACGCCGUAAACGAUGGUUACUAGCUGUUGGGCCGAUUGGGGCUCAGUGGCCAAGCGAAAGUGAUAAGUAACCCACCUGGGGAGUACGUUCGCAAGAAUGAAACUCA
rnacentral:rRNA from 1 species